rnacentral:rRNA from 1 species
GCGAGUGGCGAACGGGUGAGUAAUGUAUCGGAACGUACCUUUCAGUGGGGGAUAACGUAGCGAAAGUUACGCUAAUACCGCAUAUUCUGUGAGCAGGAAAGCAGGGGAUCGCAAGACCUUGCGCUGAUUGAGCGGCCGAUAUCAGAUUAGCUAGUUGGUGAGGUAAAGGCUCACCAAGGCGACGAUCUGUAGCGGGUCUGAGAGGAUCAUCCGCCACACUGGAACUGAGACACGGUCCAGACUCCUGCGGGAGGCAGCAGUGGGGAAUUUUGGACAAUGGGGGCAACCCUGAUCCAGCCAUGCCGCGUGAGUGAAGAAGGCCUUCGGGUUGUAAAGCUCUUUCGGCCGGGAAGAAAUCGCAUGGGUUAAUACCCUGUGCGGAUGACGGUACCGGCAUAAGAAGCACCGGCUAACUACGUGCCAGCAGCCGCGGUAAUACGUAGGGUGCGAGCGUUAAUCGGAAUUACUGGGCGUAAAGCGUGCGCAGGCGGUUUUGUAAGACAGGCGUGAAAUCCCCGGGCUCAACCUGGGAACUGCGCUUGUGACUGCAAGGCUAGAGUAUGGCAGAGGGGGGUGGAAUUCCACGUGUAGCAGUGAAAUGCGUAGAGAUGUGGAGGAACACCAAUGGCGAAGGCAGCCCCCUGGGCCAAUACUGACGCUCAUGCACGAAAGCGUGGGUAGCAAACAGGAUUAGAUACCCUGGUAGUCCACGCCCUAAACGAUGUCAACUAGGUGUUGGGUGGGUAAAACCAUUUAGUACCGGAGCUAGCGCGUGAAGUUGACCGCCUGGGGAGUACGGCCGCAAGGUUAAAACUCAAAGGAAUUGACGGGGACCCGCACAAGCGGUGGAUGAUGUGGAUUAAUUCGAUGCAACGCGAAAAACCUUACCUACCCUUGACAUGUCCAGGAGCCUGAAGAGAUUUGGGUGUGCCCGAAAGGGAACUGGAACACAGGUGCUGCAUGGCUGUCGUCAGCUCGUGUCGUGAGAUGUUGGGUUAAGUCCCGCAACGAGCGCAACCCUUGUCGUUAAUUGCCAUCAUUCAGUUGGGCACUUUAACGAGACUGCCGGUGACAAACCGGAGGAAGGUGGGGAUGACGUCAAGUCCUCAUGGCCCUUAUGGGUAGGGCUUCACACGUCAUACAAUGGUCGGUACAAAGGGUUGCCAAGCCGCGAGGUGGAGCCAAUCCCAGAAAGCCGAUCGUAGUCCGGAUCGCAGGCUGCAACUCGCCUGCGUGAAGUCGGAAUCGCUAGUAAUCGUGGAUCAGCAUGUCACGGUGAAUACGUUCCCGGGUCUUGUACACACCGCCCGUCACACCAUGGGAGCGGGUUCCGCCAGAAGUAGGUAGCCUAACCGCAAGGAGGGCGCUUACCACGGCGGGGUUCGUGACUGGGGUGAAGUCGAAACAAGGUA